AGCUGCGCGACUGGCGGAAGACGGUAGUUACCGUUGUGGGAUCACCCACAGGGAGUGCAGUCAUAACGAGAAGCCGACCGCCUGGGCGAA
rnacentral:ncRNA from 1 species